CCUACGGGUGGCAGCAGUGAGGAAUAUUGGUCAAUGGCCGGAAGGCUGAACCAGCCAUGCCGCGUGAAGGUCAGUGCCCUAUGGGCGUUAAACUUCUUUUGUGCGGGAGCAAUAAUGGUCACGUGUGGCCAGACGAGAGUACCGUACGAAUAAGCAUCGGCUAACUCCGUGCCAGCAGCCGCGGUAAUACGGGGGAUGCAGGCGUUAUCCGGAUUUAUUGGGUUUAAAGGGUGCGUAGGCUGGGAGGUAAGUCAGCGGUGAAAUGCCCCCGCUCAACGGGGUGAAGUGCCAUUGAUACUGCCUGGCUGGAAUGCGGAUGCCGUGGGAGGAAUGUGUGGUGUAGCGGUGAAAUGCAUAGAUAUCACACAGAACACCGAUUGCGAAGGCAUCUCACGAAUCCGCGAUUGACGCUGAUGCACGAAAGCGUGGGUAUCAAACAGGAUUAGAUACCCGAGUAGUC
rnacentral:rRNA from 1 species